rnacentral:rRNA from 1 species
GGGGAAUAUUGGACAAUGGGCGCAAGCCUGAUCCAGCCAUGCCGCGUGUGUGAAGAAGGCCUUCGGGUUGUAAAGCACUUUUGUUGGGGAAGAAAACCUGUUGGUUAAUACCCGGCGGGAAUGACGGUACCCAAAGAAUAAGCACCGGCUAACUUCGUGCCAGCAGCCGCGGUAAUACGAAGGGUGCAAGCGUUACUCGGAAUUACCGGGCGUAAAGCGUGCGUAGGUGGUUCGUUAAGUCUGCCGUGAAAGCCCCGGGCUCAACCUGGGAAUGGCGGUGGAUACUGGCGGACUAGAGUGCGGUAGAGGGUGGUGGAAUUCCCGGUGUAGCAGUGAAAUGCGUAGAGAUCGGGAGGAACAUCUGUGGCGAAGGCGGCCACCUGGACCAGCACUGACACUGAGGCACGAAAGCGUGGGGAGCAAAC